AGGAUGGAAUAAUCACAGUACUCCUGGAACAGAUAUCCCCUCUGAGAUACAUACAGGUCCUUAUUAUUUAUGUUCAAAUCACAGUGUACUUUCCAAAUGGGCCAAAUUGAGAUUUUUCACAGCUCCAGUAGAAAACUUCUAGAUGGAAAGACUAUCGUAUCUCAAUACUCACAAAGCAAAAUCCAGUGCACAGUGUUCCACCUUACAUGGGACUAUGAAUGAGAAAGAGCAAAGCAGAUAAUGAAGUGGUUCCUAUUCCAACUCUCUCUUGCAGGAAUGAAGAAUUGUGGUUUCACAGAAGCAAGAAGCCUAGGAAAGGCAGAUUAUGAUGGUUCUAACUACCAACUCUUUAUGCUGUUAUCUUUUUUCCUUAAUAUAAUGGAAGAAUUGCUUACCUCAAAGGACGUGUCAUGUGCUGUACUUAAUAAAUGUUA